UGUGAAGUCUCCCACUUCAGGGUAGUUGGACGUUUCCUGAGGAAUGUGACGCGGCCUGUCCAGCAGGCACACGGGGCUGCAGGUCACCUGCUUGUUGGAAAAGAAGCACAGCGGGCCCAUUUUGUAGAUUUAUUCUCUUAAGUUCUUGUUCUCACCUGUCUGUUACGUAUCAGAAGGAGAAAGAGAAAGCACAAAAGAGGAUCAUUUGAGGCAGCACAUUGCAGCACUUGCUGGUAGGGAAAAGGGUUCAAUAACUAGGAGAGUGCCCUAGCGAUCUGCAGAAACUUCCAUGCCGUCCCUGCCUUACCAUGUGGGGAAAGAAUUCAGUCAGCAAAAACUGCUUUUAAGUUCAUACCCUAGCCUAAACUGUGAGAAGAAAUCAGGAUUAUUGAUGGACAUUUUAUAAGUUAUCUAAUCAUCAUUCAACACAAAAAAAGACAAGAAAAAUAGGAAGGUGCUGGGCAUGGUGGUGCACACCUGCAAUCCUAGUGGCUCCAGAG